GGUUAAGUGAAUAAGGGCGCACGGUGGAUGCCUUGGCACUAGGAGCCGAUGAAGGACGGGACUAACACCGAUAUGCUUUGGGGAGCUGUACGUAAGCUAUGAUCCAGAGAUUUCCGAAUGGGGAAACCCAACAUCUUUUAUAGGAUGUUACGUUUGCGUGAAUACAUAGCGCAUUCGAGGUAGACGCAGAGAACUGAAACAUCUAAGUACCUGCAGGAAGAGAAAGAAAAUUCGAUUCCCUGAGUAGCGGCGAGCGAAACGGGAAAAGCCCAAACCAAUGAGCUUGCUCAUUGGGGUUGUAGGACUCCAAUAUGGUAGUUCUUUCAGAUAAUCGAAUGACUUGGAAAAGUCAGUCAAAGAGGGUAAAAACCCCGUAGAUGAAAUUUGGAAGGCACCUAGGAGGAUCCUGAGUACGGCGGAACACGAGGAAUUCCGUCGGAAUCCGGGAGGACCAUCUCCCAAGGCUAAAUACUCCCUAGUGACCGAUAGUGAACCAGUACCGUGAGGGAAAGGUGAAAAGCACCCCGGAAGGGGAGUGAAAUAGAACCUGAAACCGUGUGCCUACAACAAGUCAAAGCCCGUUAAUGGGUGAUGGCGUGCCUUUUGUAGAAUGAACCGGCGAGUUACGAUUGCAUGCGAGGUUAAGUCGAAGAGACGGAGCCGCAGCGAAAGCGAGUCUGAAUAGGGCGUUUGAGUAUGUAGUCGUAGACCCGAAACCAUGUGAUCUACCCAUGUCCAGGUUGAAGGUGCGGUAAAACGCACUGGAGGACCGAACCCACGUACGUUGAAAAGUGCGGGGAUGAGGUGUGGGUAGCGGAGAAAUUCCAAACGAACUUGGAGAUAGCUGGUUCUCUCCGAAAUAGCUUUAGGGCUAGCCUCGGAUUUGAGAAUGAUGGAGGUAGAGCACUGUUUGGACUAGGGGCCCAUCUCGGGUUACCGAAUUCAGAUAAACUCCGAAUGCCAUUCAUUCAUAUCCGGGAGUCAGACUGUGAGUGAUAAGAUCCAUAGUCGAAAGGGAAACAGCCCAGACCACCAGCUAAGGUCCCAAAAUAUAUGUUAAGUGGAAAAGGAUGUGGGGUUGCACAGACAACUAGGAUGUUGGCUCAGAAGCAGCCACCAUUUAAAGAGUGCGUAAUAGCUCACUAGUCGAGUGACCCUGCGCCGAAAAUGUACCGGGGCUAAACAUAUUACCGAAGCUGUGGAGUACACCAUUAGGUGUAUUGGUAGGAGAGCGUUCUAAGGGCGUUGAAGGCAGAUCGUGAGGACUGCUGGAGCGCUUAGAAGUGAGAAUGCCGGUAUGAGUAGCGAAAGACAGGUGAGAAUCCUGUCCACCGAAUGACUAAGGUUUCCUGGGGAAGGCUCGUCCGCCCAGGGUUAGUCGGGACCUAAGCCGAGGCCGACAGGCGUAGGCGAUGGACAACAGGUUGAUAUUCCUGUACUCGUUGUUUUUGUUUGAGCAAUGGAGGGACGCAGGAGGCUAAGGAAUGCAGACGAUUGGAAAUGUCUGUCCAAGCAGUAAGUCUUGAUAGGAGUCAAAUGCUUCUGUCUACACGGAUAAGCUGUGAUGGGGAGGGAAAUAAUAGUACCGAAGUUCCUGAUGUCACACUGCCAAGAAAAGCUUCUAGUGAGAAAACAAUGACCCGUACCGCAAACCGACACAGGUAGUCGAGGAGAGAAUCCUAAGGUGAGCGAGAGAACUCUCGUUAAGGAACUCGGCAAAAUGACCCCGUAACUUCGGGAGAAGGGGUGCUGAUCUUUGAUCAGCCGCAGUGAAUAGGCCCAAGCGACUGUUUAUCAAAAACACAGGUCUCUGCAAAAUCGUAAGAUGAAGUAUAGGGGCUGACGCCUGCCCGGUGCUGGAAGGUUAAGAGGAGUGCUUAGCGUAAGCGAAGGUACGAAUUGAAGCCCCAGUAAACGGCGGCCGUAACUAUAACGGUCCUAAGGUAGCGAAAUUCCUUGUCGGGUAAGUUCCGACCCGCACGAAAGGCGUAACGAUUUGGGCACUGUCUCAACGAGAGACUCGGUGAAAUUUUAGUACCUGUGAAGAUGCAGGUUACCCGCGACAGGACGGAAAGACCCCAUGGAGCUUUACUGUAGUUUGAUAUUGAGUGUCUGUACCGCAUGUACAGGAUAGGUAGGAGCCGUAGAAAUCGGAACGCUAGUUUCGAUGGAGGCGCUGGUGGGAUACUACCCCUGCGUUAUGGCCACUCUAACCCGCACCACUGAUCGUGGUGGGAGACAGUGUCAGAUGGGCAGUUUGACUGGGGCGGUCGCCUCCUAAAAGGUAACGGAGGCGCCCAAAGGUUCCCUCAGAAUGGUUGGAAAUCAUUCGAAGAGUGUAAAGGCAGAAGGGAGCUUGACUGCGAGACCAACAAGUCGAGCAGGGACGAAAGUCGGGCUUAGUGAUCCGGUGGUUCCGCAUGGAAGGGCCAUCGCUCAACGGAUAAAAGCUACCCUGGGGAUAACAGGCUUAUCUCCCCCAAGAGUCCACAUCGACGGGGAGGUUUGGCACCUCGAUGUCGGCUCGUCGCAUCCUGGGGCUGUAGUCGGUCCCAAGGGUUGGGCUGUUCGCCCAUUAAAGCGGCACGCGAGCUGGGUUCAGAACGUCGUGAGACAGUUCGGUCCCUAUCCGUCGCGGGCGUUGGAAAUUUGAGAGGAGCUGUCCUUAGUACGAGAGGACCGGGAUGGACUUACCGCUGGUGUACCAGUUGUUCUGCCAAGGGCAUUGCUGGGUAGCUAUGUAGGGAAGGGAUAAACGCUGAAAGCAUCUAAGUGUGAAGCCCACCUCAAGAUGAGAUUUCCCAUUUCUUUAAGAAAGUAAGAUCCCUGAGAGAUGAUCAGGUAGAUAGGUCAGGAGUGGAAGGCCAGUGAUGGUUGGAGCGGACUGAUACUAAUCGAUCGAGGACUUAACCAA
rnacentral:rRNA from 3 species